AGCAAGGUCAGCUAAUCAAGCUAUCGGGCCCAUACCCCGAAAAUGUCACACGACCCCUGCUA
rnacentral:tRNA from 1 species